AUGCGAAGAUCCCAGCAGGGGGGUGAGUUACUCUUAUUGUUGAGGCCCCUCUAACUAUGAAUUGAAUUUCAAUUCCCUUCGCAGAUUUAUUUGCCGAAUCGUAGGAUGCCCAAAUUUCUUCAUUUUGGUGCAUCUUGAACCCUCGGCUAUAUUCUA